UGUCCUCAUUUCCUAAUAAAAAAUAAUCUGUUAUACUAUGCUAAAGAGGUUGAAGGUCAGCGAAGAGACUUGUUGGUUGUCCCAAAACAAUAUGUGUCCACAGUGUUGCAUCUGGCUCACAGCCAUGUCCUAGGGGCCCACCUAGGGGUUGAGAAGACAAGGCAGCGGAUUGGGAGCCGGUUCCACUGGCCAGGGGUGGUAAGGGCUAUAGAGGAUUAUUGUCGCACCUGUGUUGAAUGUCAAAAGAUGAGUCCCAAGCCACACUUUAAAAGUCCCCUAAUACCUCUACCGAUAAUCGAUGUACCGUUUUCUCGCAUUGCCAUGGACUUAGUGGGGCCGCUGGUGAAGUCUGCCAGGGGACAUCAGUAUAUUCUUGUGAUCCUUGACUAUGCAACCAGGUACCCGGAGGCCAUUCCCUUGAGGAACAUGACAACGAGAGUGAUUGCACGGGAGCUGCUUCACCUGUUCAGUCGAGUUGGGAUUCCUAAAGAGAUGCUAACAGACCAAGGCACUCCCUUCAUGUCCAAGAUAAUGAAGGAUCUCUGCAGGCUCUUCAAGGUAAAGCAGCUUCGUACAUCUGUCUACCAUCCGCAGACAGACGGAUUGGUAGAACGCUUUAACAAGACGUUGAAAUCCAUGUUAAAGAAGGUUGUUGACAAGGAUGGUCGUAACUGGGACCAGCUUCUGCCCUAUGUCCUGUUUUCAAUCAGGGAAGUUCCACAGGCUUCAACCGGUUUCUCCCCCUUCGAGCUGCUGUAUGGCCGACAGCCCAGAGGACUUCUCGACAUCGCGAAGGAAGCCUGGGAGGAGCAACCAAGCCCCCAUCGGAGCCUGAUUGAGCAUGUAGAGACGAUGCAGACGCAUAUGAAAGAUGUUUGGCCCAUGGUCAGAGAGCACAUGGCUCAAGCCCAAGAAGCCCAGAGGAAAGUGUAUAACAGAGGUGCCCAACCACGUGAGUUCCUGCCCGGGGAUAAAGUGCUUCUCCUGGUCCCCACCACAGAACACAGAUUCCUGGCAUCGUGGCAAGGUCCCUAUGAAGUGACAGAGAAGGUGGGACCAGUCAACUACAAGGUACGCCAACCUGGCCGUCGCAAACCAUCCCAAAUAUACCAUGUUAACCUGUUAAAGAAAUGGUAUGCCCGAGAGGCACUGCUGUGUUCUUGUUCCCUAUUUGUAUCCCCUUCUCCAGACCAUGAGGUGGCCGAAGUUGAAUACGGUCCAGGGCUAUCCAAAGCUCAGUUACAGCAAACCAAGGAACUGGUUCAGCAGAGUUUGGAUGUGUUCUCACUACGACCUGGACGCACAACGAUGGUGGAACAUCAAAUCCACACAGAGCCGGGCCAAAAGGUAAAGAUGCGACCCUACCGGGUGCCGGAGGCAAGACGGGCGGCCAUUGAGCAAGAAGUGCAGAAAAUGCUGGCUAUGGGGGUGAUUGAAGAACCUCACAGUGAGUGGACCAGCCCUGUCGUUCUGGUUCCUAAGCCAGACAAAACCAACAGGUUUUGUAAUGAUUUCAGAAAAUUGAAUGAAAUCUCCAAGUUUGAUGCGUAUCCUAUGCCCAGGAUAGAUGAGCUAAUUGAUCGGCUUGGGGAAGCCAGGUAUAUCAGCACUCUGGACUUGACGAAAGGGUAUUGGCAGGUCCUACUUGAAGCUGCCUCAAGAGAGAAGACGGCCUUCGCCACCCCCACAGGGCUGUACCAGUACACUGUGCUUCCCUUCGGGCUUCAUGGAGCACCAGCCACGUUCCAGAGACUGAUGGACAAGGUUCUGAGGCCACAUCGUGAGUAUGCAGCUGCCUAUUUGGAUGACGUUGUUAUCCACAGUGACUCAUGGGAUAGCCAUCUCAUAAGGCUUGCAGCAGUGCUGGAAUCUCUCCGCAGGGCGGGCUUGACAGCUAAUCCAAGAAAAUGCAAGCUUGGACUAGAGGAAGCCGAAUACCUGGGCUUCACCAUUGGGCGGGGCAACGUUAGACCACAAGAAAGGAAGGUUCAGGCGAUCCAGGACUGGCCACGGCCGUCAACAAAGAAACGGGUGAAAACAUUCUUGGGUCUGACGUCCUAUUAUUGCCGUUUCAUCCCAAACUUCUCCACAGUAGCCUCUCCCCUUACAGACCUGACCAGAGACUCACAGCCGCUAAUGGUCAAGUGGACAGGAGAGGCUGAACACGCCUUUGAGGAACUUAAGAGGGCUCUCUGCGCACGGCCGGUGUUGGUGACCCCAGACUUCAGCCGGGGGAUGAUUGUGCAGACGGAUGCGUCAGAGGUGGGCAUAGGAGCAGUACUAUCCCAGGAGGUUCACGGUGAGGAACACCCCGUCAUGUACAUCAGCCGGAAGCUGAACACAAGGGAACAAGUGUAUGCUACUGUGGAGAAAGAAGGCCUAGCAAUAAAAUGGGCGCUUGAGCGCCUCCGGUAUUACCUCUUGGGACGUCACUUCACUCUGGUAACUGAUCAUGCCCCACUGAUCUGGAUGGCAAAUAAAAAAGACACAAACGCUAAAGUAGGAAGGUGGUUUGUCUCACUACAGGAGUUUAACUUCUCUAUCAUCCACAGAGCCGGAGCCAAGCAUGGGAAUGCAGAUGCCCUGUCCCGUAGAGAUGCCCUGUGGACCAUGGUCACCUCUCCUAGGCCAGAACUGAAGGGGGGGGUGUGUAAGGGACUGAGAGGCAGAGUAGUGGGAGGCACCUACAUUCCCAAUAGGUGGCUCCACCCGCUGCCAAUUAGCAGUAUUGGGACCAGGUGUGGAGACCUCACACCUGGUGCUAAUCACUCCCUCAAGGGAGACAAAGCACACAGAGUUGCUCAGUUGUGUGUGGCACAUGGAGGGAGCAGGAGGCUCCCAGCGUGAGGAAACAUUUUUUCCUGUGUUUGCUCUCCGGUGUAACAUGGAGCACGUCUGCCUGCUGUUGUCCAGAACUGAGGAGUCCAGGAUUCAGAAAGGACUGGAGCUGUAUGAGAAGAGCCUGGUGCGGGUGGAGGACGGCAGCCUGCCUGCAGACCUGCUGGAGAUCAGAAGCUUCCUCACCGUCCCUCAGAACUUGGUGAAGGUGAUGACGUUAUGUACGAGGCAUGAUUUGAGAACCAGAGGUCUGAAGGUGCUGCAGCUGAGCAUCGAUAAGCUCAA